UGAGGAAUAUUGGUCAAUGGACGAGAGUCUGAACCAGCCAAGUAGCGUGAAGGAUGACUGCCCUAUGGGUUGUAAACUUCUUUUAUACGGGAAUAAAGUGAGGCACGUGUGCCUUUUUGUAUGUACCGUAUGAAUAAGGAUCGGCUAACUCCGUGCCAGCAGCCGCGGUAAUACGGAGGAUCCGAGCGUUAUCCGGAUUUAUUGGGUUUAAAGGGAGCGUAGGCGGACGCUUAAGUCAGUUGUGAAAGUUUGCGGCUCAACCGUAAAAUUGCAGUUGAUACUGGGUGUCUUGAGUACAGUUGAGGUAGGCGGAAUUCGUGGUGUAGCGGUGAAAUGCUUAGAUAUCACGAAGAACUCCGAUUGCGAAGGCAGCUUACUAACCUGUAACUGACAUUGAUGCUCGAAAGUGUGGGUAUCAAACAGGAUUAGAUACCCUGGUAGUCCACACGGUAAACGAUGAAUACUCGCUGUAGGCGAUAUACAGUCUGCGGCCAAGCGAAAGCAUUAAGUAUUCCACCUGGGGAGUACGCCGGCAACGGUGAAACUCAAAGGAAUUGACGGGGGCCCGCACAAGCGGAGGAACAUGUGGUUUAAUUCGAUGAUACGCGAGGAACCUUACCCGGGCUUAAAUUGCAACCGAAUAUGGCGGAAACGCUAUAGCUAGCAAUAGCGGUUGUGAAGGUGCUGCAUGGUUGUCGUCAGCUCGUGCCGUGAGGUGUCGGCUUAAGUGCCAUAACGAGCGCAACCCUUGCCGAUAGUUACUAACAGGUUAUGCUGAGGACUCUGUCGGGACUGCCAUCGUAAGAUGUGAGGAAGGUGGGGAUGACGUCAAAUCAGCACGGCCCUUACGUCCGGGGCUACACACGUGUUACAAUGGGGGGUACAGAGGGCUGCUACCACGCAAGUGGAUGCCAAUCCCAAAAACCUCUCUCAGUUCGGAUUGAAGUCUGCAACCCGACUUCAUGAAGCUGGAUUCGCUAGUAAUCGCGCAUCAGCCACGGCGCGGUGAAUACGUUCCC
rnacentral:rRNA from 1 species